UCCUCUGGCUUGGUUCCUUACAAUCCAACU
rnacentral:piRNA from 2 species